rnacentral:lncRNA from 1 species
CGGAAGGGUCUGAGCACCCUUCUGAAGUGUUUUAAAAGCCACGRUAUCCCUCACGAGGGCCGUUGAUCCAGGUGAACGCUGCAGGCUGUUGAGAAAGAACUAAACGCAGAAAUAUUUACCACCUUGUUGCUUUCUCUUCCUACCAGGAACCACUCCAUCCCAGCUGAAAAACACGCCAGUGGCUGGAGGGUAUCAGGGUACAUCCACGGGAACGCGUACGGACAGCCYGUGCCCGGACCCCUGGCUGCAGCCGCGAGAGGGACGAGCGGGGCUCCCCGGCUGAUCUGCCUAGUACGGUGGAGCUGUGCUAACACCUGCUGCACGGGGAUUAAAGUAUCAGGUCCUCGCCCUGCGCUGAGCUCAGGCACGGAGGAGUUGCCCUUUGAUCCUUAUCAGGCCGAGCAGAUGACAGCUCCGAGUCAGGUAGGAUGUUGCCCUCCGAUUCAAGCGCCUGUGUUGCCAUCCGCUGUGCGCUCACGCUCUCGUGCCGGGGAAGGCACCGGGGAAGGCGCGCAAGGGGUUAAGGCUGGCUCAGCGGUGACUCACGGUGCAGGACUGUGCUAUCUGGCUAGGUGUGUAGGCACACACCAGGUCCCAGCAGAUAGGAUCGCUUACCUGGAAGCAGCAUUCCAGCGCCCGGCGAUAAGGCRGUGGGGAGCGGGCGGCCCGGCCUGACUCACGCUUCUUCCGCGCCCGGCGCAGCCCCUGCUACGCACCAGCGCAGGUGAAGCCGGUAGCGACCCAGCCCGAGCCCGGUGCGUGCGUGUGCGCGGCGGCCCUCUGCGUGCGUGUGCGGGGCGGCCCUCGGGGGCGCUGGCUCAGCACCAGGCUCUUGCUGGCGAGUGGCAGGCGCUCGCGGUAAAUAGGAGUUGGGCAGCGCGGCUGCCGGACCCAGCACCGUGAGCCAGGGCAGGGCAGGUGCUGUGGGUCGCUGUCCCGGACUGUGCCCCAGAGCUCGACAGCGCACGCGAAUUAGUACGGGAAUGUACGUUCCCGUCUACAGCCGCCU